GGGCUUGUGGUCUAGUGGUAUGAUUCUUCCUUAGCACUGUUGAGGCUUAAUACGAAUGAGGUCUAACUCCUCAUCGUGAACUUGGAAGAGGUCCGGGGUUCAAUUCCCCGCGAGUCCA
rnacentral:tRNA from 1 species